GAUAAUAUUCAAGUAAAGUACUAUUUAACAUAAAGAAAUAAAUGAGAAAUUUCAAUUCUCUUACUACAAACAUAUGGAUAUAAUCCUGAAAAAAUUGUACGUGAGGGUUAUGAUUCUUGGCUUUCAUACGCGCCUAGUUUUGAUGAAUAAGUGUGCAAUGUUUCCAAACCACCUUACCGAUGUUUACGCUCUUUAUGACUUUAGAUGAAGCUCAGCAUAAUGUGGCUACGUAAUUCUCAAAAAUGAAACUUAGUUCAAUGUGCAAGACUACGAGAGUCCUGCAAAAAGUUCUGUCAUUGGGUUCAGUUUUCUUAGGUGCUAUGUUUAAUCAAAAUUAUUUUUAUUACAAACCUUCAAAGUAUUCCCAUUUUACCGAAAUACAUUUCUGUAACCUUUUUACCCUAUCGCAAAAAGCAGAUAAAUAGUCUUCUUUUGGUAUCUGUUUGAGACACUGAUAAAUGGCGCUGCCAAGAGAACUUCUGGACUUAUAUUUCUUUCCAGAAAGCAUUUUCUUAAGCCUUGGAAAUAAAAAAAGUCAUAGGGACUCAGGUCAAGUAAAUAAGGCGGAUGGUUUACAACUUCCACCUUUUCAGAAGCUAAAUCUCUGUGGCUCAAACAUGUGCACCAAGGUUUCGUCACCUGUUAGAAAGUUAGAAAUAACCCGACUAUCACAGCCUUUGUAUGUUUUCAAAAGUUCUCGGGCACAUUAAGGGCGUUGUUUCUUUUGCUCCUCAGUGAGCAAAUGAGGUACCCACCUAGCGCAAACCUUUCUCAUGUCCAAACGCUUUUUUUUUCAGAAUUGUUUGCACACUGCCUUCUGAUAUGCCAUCCUGUUCGACCACAGCUUUUACAGCAGCGAUGUUUGCCUUGAAAACAGAGGUUUUAGGCCUACCAGAACAGGUAUCAUCUUCGACAGAUAGUUUCCAAGCUUUAAAAGCUUUAACCGACCUAAACACUGUGGACAUUGAAAUGUCCUGAGGUCCAUAUAUGCCAAACAAUUCAUCAAAUAUCUGCUUUGAAUCUAUAUCAAGCCUAAUGCGUUAUUUAAUAUAGCUAUAAACAGUGUGUGGGAACAUGUGACCUGAAAUGAAGCUCAACACAGAUAAAAUGGCGGCCACAGAGCCAAAUUUCACGGAAAAUGCGAGGGCCGUUGCCCAAAGCGUACAAACUGUCUGAACACACAGGACGCCACGUGCCAUUUGUGUAGGAGUAGUUCUAGUUCAAAAUCAAGCAGUACAUGUCGAAACAAAGUAAGCUGGAAGGACACACACAUGUAAUAAUGAAGGAUGUUAGAUACUACACGGCCAAAGAAGUAAAGAGAAGAUCCAAGCUUCAACUGGAAACAUGUCCAAAAAAAGACUUUAGGUGUAAGGUUGAAAAGGGCAUGAAAAAGGAAAACAAAAUGCUACUAACAUGAAGGAAGGGACUGUUAUAAUUUGUAGUCUUGUGUUUUGGAAACAACAAUUUGAUUCAUUACUAACUUGCAAUUUCUUACUUUUAGUGUGUAUCGGUUUCACUUUACCUAACAGUAAAGACAUCAUUUAUCUCCUUCUCAACCGAAUUAGAUUUAUGUUUAUAUUAUAUAUUAUUAUUAUAUGACGAAAUAGAACAUAAGACAUGUCACUUUCAAUACUUAAUUAAAUACGUGAGGAUGUGACUUAUUUUGUUUUUGUAAAAUACCAUGGAUAACAAUAAAAUCGAAGGUAAAUUGUUGUGUAAGUUUUAUUUCAAAGGUUAUAACACCCUUAAUAGUUGUUGUUCUUUAUUCUAUAUAAAAUUGACCUAUUUCCAAUGGCCGCAGCACACAUCAGGACCCAUUUUAAAUGUCUGUAACCUACAUUUUCUUGAAGAAUAUAUUGUCAGUGCUAAAUAUAAAUCAAAAGACAAGUGGGGGUUAUGUUUAAUGCAAGAAAAAUAAUUUCAGUCAAACACACAAACUGCAAAAUCAGCUA